ACGGGAGGCAGCAGUGGGGAAUAUUGCACAAUGGGCGGAAGCCUGAUGCAGCGAUGCCGCGUGAGGGAAGAAGGUUUUCGGAUUGUAAACCUCUGUCCUCAGGGACGAUAAUGACGGUACCUGAGGAGGAAGCUCCGGCUAACUACGUGCCAGCAGCCGCGGUAAUACGUAGGGAGCGAGCGUUGUCCGGAAUUACUGGGUGUAAAGGGUGCGUAGGCGGGCCGGCAAGUCAGAUGUGAAAUGUAUGGGCUCAACCCAUAACCUGCAUUUGAACCUGUUGUUCUUGAGUGAGGUAGAGGUAAGCGGAAUUCCUAGUGUAGCGGUGAAAUGCGUAGAGAUUGGGAGGAACACCAGUGGCGAAGGCGACUAACUGGACUGUAACUGACGCUGAGGCGCGAAAGUGUGGGGAGCAAACAGGAUUAGAUCCCCUGGUA
rnacentral:rRNA from 1 species